AACUUCAUGGAAGCCCUAAGGGAACAGAACUAGAGAGGCUUCUGCAUUAUUCUGAAAGAGCCCAGUGGUAUCCCAGCCAAGAAUUAUAGCUGAGUCUGAAGCUGGAGGUAGUAAAGACUUCAGCUGCCAAUGGAAGCACAGCAAGCACAGGGAACCCAAUGUUUCAACCUUUAUGUUUUAUGUUUUCUCCUGCAAAGACACCCAACCCUGUGAGAAGCAAGUCCUGCUCAGUGGAGAAGUGACUCCAGCAUGGAUAGCCCUUUGGUGAACUUCAUGAGAAUUCUGCUGUCUUGAGGAAAGAGAACCCUCCCAAUGCCAUGAUUUUGUGAAGAGUGAUGUUGGCCUCUUUGUUGUAUUCCAUCUUCUAUCUCUGAGUGUUUCUCCUGGAUGUCUUCUGUGCCUAGAACAUUCUCCAUCCUCAUCUGUGCCUCCUAACUUCCUUGGCUUCCUUCAGGUCUUAGCUAAUUCCUGGCAUUCUACAAGAAGACUUUCCCAGUCCUUGAUCUUAGUACCUCCCUCUGAAACUACUCCAGUGUUUAUCUUGUUGGUACAUAGUUGUUUAUAUGUUGUCUCCUGCGUUAAACUGUGGGUUCCUUAAAAGCAAGGACAAUUUUUUGCCUUUUUUUGUAUUCAUAAAACUUAGCAUAGUACCUGACAUAUAGAAGGCACUUAAUAAGUACUAGCUGACUUUGACCAUGACUAUGCCAUUUUCAAAGAAAUUUAAUAACUUUUAAUUAUACAUUGAUGCAUUUUUUAAAACCCUUACCUUCCAUCUUAGAAUCAAUACUGUGUAUUGGUUCUAAGGUAGAAGAGUGGUCAGGGCAAGACAAUGGGGGUUAAGUGACUUGCCCAGGGUCACACAGCUAGGAAGUAUCUGAGAUCAAAUUUGAACCCAGCACCACCCCUUUUCUCUGGGCCUGACUCUCAAUCCACUGAGCCACCUAGCUGCUCUCUAUAUUGAUACACUUUAACUACAUUAUAAUUUCAUUUGUCUUUUUAAAUAUAAACUGCCCCCAUCCCCCCAUCCCUAACAGCAGUAGUAUUGCUCUAUCUCUUGGAGAAAAUCAUUUGUUUCCAUUAUGGUU